rnacentral:tRNA from 1 species
GGGCCGGUAGUGUAGUGGUAACACGCGUCCUUGGCAUGGACGAGACCCUGGGUUCAAAUCCCAGCCGGUCCA